GACGAACGCUGGCGGCGUGCUUAACACAUGCAAGUCGAGCGGUAAGGCCCCUUCGGGGGUAUACGAGCGGCGAACGGGUGAGUAACACGUGAGCAAUCUGCCCAUCACAUCGGGAUAACUCCGGGAAACCGAAGCUAAUACCGAAUACGACCACCUCCGGCAUCGGAUGGUGGUGGAAAGUUCCGGCGGUGAUGGAUGAGCUCGCGGCCUAUCAGCUUGUUGGUGGGGUAACGGCCCACCAAGGCUUCGACGGGUAGCCGGCCUGAGAGGGUGACCGGCCACACUGGGACUGAGACACGGCCCAGACUCCUACGGGAGGCAGCAGUGGGGAAUAUUGGACAAUGGGCGAAAGCCUGAUCCAGCAACGCCGCGUGAGGGAUGACGGCCUUCGGGUUGUAAACCUCUUUCAGCAGGGACGAAGCGCAAGUGACGGUACCUGCAGAAGAAGCACCGGCCAACUACGUG
rnacentral:rRNA from 1 species